rnacentral:rRNA from 1 species
UACGGGGGGGGCAAGCGUUGUUCGGAAUUACUGGGCGUAAAGGGCUUGUAGGUGGCCAACUAAGUCAGACAUGAAAUCCCUCGGCUUAACCGGGGAACUGCGUCUGAUACUGGAUGGCUGGAGUGUGGGAGAGGGAUGCGGAAUUCCAGGUGUAGCGGUGAAAUGCGUAGAUAUCUGGAGGAACACCGGUGGCGAAGGCGGCAUCCUGGACCAUUACUGACACUGAAAAGCGAAAGCCAGGGGAGCAAACGGG